rnacentral:misc_RNA from 1 species
GAUGAAGAACGCAGCGAAAUGCGAUAAGUAAUGUGAAUUGCAGAAUUCAGUGAAUCAUCGAAUCUUUGAACGCACCUUGCGCUCCUUGGUAUUCCGAGGAGCAUGCCUGUUUGAGUGUCAUGAAAUUCUCAACCUUUUCAGCUUUCUUUGUUGAUCAGGCUUGGAUGCGGGAGUAUGCGGGCUUCUCAGAAGUCGGCUCUCCUGAAAUGCAUUAGCGGGACCUUUGUUGCCUGGCUUUGGUGUGAUAAUUAUCUACGCCAUUGUAGUCAAGCAGCUUAAAAUGAGGUUUCAGCUUCUAACCGUCUCCCCUGAGACAACUUUUUGACAAUUUGACCUCAAAUCAGGUAGGACUACCCGCUGAACUUAAGCAUAUCAAUAAGCGGAGGA